UACGGAGGGUGCAAGCGUUAUCCGGAUUCACUGGGUUUAAAGGGAGCGUAGGUGGGUUGGUAAGUCAGUGGUGAAAUCCCCGAGCUUAACUUGGGAACUGCCAUUGAUACUAUCACUCUUGAAUACUGUGGAGGCUAGCGGAAUAUGUCAUGUAGCGGUGAAAUGCUUAGAUAUGACAUAGAACACCAAUUGCGAAGGCAGCUGGCUACACAAAUAUUGACACUGAGGCUCGAAAGCGUGGGGAUCAAACAGG
rnacentral:rRNA from 1 species